UAGGGAAUCUUCGGCAAUGGACGAAAGUCUGACCGAGCAACGCCGCGUGAGUGAAGAAGGUUUUCGGAUCGUAAAACUCUGUUGGUAGAGAAGAACGUUGGUGAGAGUGGAAAGCUCAUCAAGUGACGGUAACUACCCAGAAAGGAACGGCUAAAUACGUGCCAG
rnacentral:rRNA from 1 species